CACCAGCGCCACAAGUGGUGACCAGCAUUAUUGGGCCUAAAGCGUCCGUAGCAGGAAAAAUAAAUCUUCUGUGAAACUGUUAAGCUUAACUUAACAACGUGCAGGAGACACUGUUAUUCUAGAGACCGGGAGGGGUCAGAGGUAGUUUUGGGGAGCGGUAAAAUGCUAUAAUCCCAAGAGGACCACCGAUGGCGAAGGCAUCUGACCAGAACGGAUCUGACUGUGAGGGACGAAGGCCAGGGGAGCAAACCGGAUUAGAUACCCGUGUA
rnacentral:rRNA from 1 species